CAGUCGCCACGGGAAUACGUAGGUGGCAAGCGUUGUCCGGAAUUAUUGGGCGUAAAGGGCUCGCAGGCGGUUUCUUAAGUCUGAUGUGAAAGCCCCCGGCUCAACCGGGGAGGGUCAUUGGAAACUGGGAAACUUGAGUGCAGAAGAGGAGAGUGGAAUUCCACGUGUAGCGGUGAAAUGCGUAGAGAUGUGGAGGAACACCAGUGGCGAAGGCGACUCUCUGGUCUGUAACUGACGCUGAGGAGCGAAAGCGUGGGGAGCAAACAGGAUUAGAUACCCGCGUAGUCCCUGUCUCUUAUAC
rnacentral:rRNA from 1 species